GGUUGUGGCUAAGAGGUAGAGUGCUUGGCUAGCACAUGUGAGGCCCUGGGUUCGAUCCUCAGGACUA
rnacentral:tRNA from 1 species